GACGAACGCUGGCGGCGUGCUUAACACAUGCAAGUCGAACGGAAAGGCCCUGCUUUUGUGGGGUGCUCGAGUGGCGAACGGGUGAGUAACACGUGAGUAACCUGCCCUUGACUUUGGGAUAACUUCAGGAAACUGGGGCUAAUACCGGAUAGGAGCUCCUGCUGCAUGGUGGGGGUUGGAAAGUUUCGGCGGUUGGGGAUGGACUCGCGGCUUAUCAGCUUGUUGGUGGGGUAGUGGCUUACCAAGGCUUUGACGGGUAGCCGGCCUGGGAGGUUGACCGGCCACAUUGGGACUGAGAUACGGCCCAGACUCCUACGGGAGGCAGCAGUGGGGAAUAUUACACAAUGGGCGGAAGCCUGAUGCAGCAGCGCCGCGUGCGGGAUGACGGCCUUCGGGUUGUAAACCGCUUUCGCCUGUGACGAAGCGUGAGUGGCGGUAAUGGGUAAAGAAGCACCGGCUAACUACGUG
rnacentral:rRNA from 1 species